rnacentral:rRNA from 1 species
CUGGCUCAGGAUGAACGCUGGCGGCGUGCCUAAUACAUGCAAGUCGAGCGAAUGGAUUAAGAGCUUGCUCUUAUGAAGUUAGCGGCGGACGGGUGAGUAACACGUGGGUAACCUGCCCAUAAGACUGGGAUAACUCCGGGAAACCGGGGCUAAUACCGGAUAACAUUUUGAACCGCAUGGUUCGAAAUUGAAAGGCGGCUUCGGCUGUCACUUAUGGAUGGACCCGCGUCGCAUUAGCUAGUUGGUGAGGUAACGGCUCACCAAGGCAACGAUGCGUAGCCGACCUGAGAGGGUGAUCGGCCACACUGGGACUGAGACACGGCCCAGACUCCUACGGGAGGCAGCAGUAGGGAAUCUUCCGCAAUGGACGAAAGUCUGACGGAGCAACGCCGCGUGAGUGAUGAAGGCUUUCGGGUCGUAAAACUCUGUUGUUAGGGAAGAACAAGUGCUAG